UCUUUGUGACCUGCUCUGAAUUUGUUCCAAUGGGUCUAUGUCUUUCUUGUGCUGGGAGCCCCAGACCAUGAUAAUUCAGUUUAGGCAACCCACUUGAGUCUGUCCCUUUCUUAUUUUCUAUUUUCCAUCUUGAGUACUCCAGUAUUCAAGGAGCCUUCCUACUGCAGAAUUGAAAGACCGUUCAUAUGAAAUAUGAAGGAAUCCACUGAGAAUUCAGGGUAACAGUCACUCAACUGAAGCAUAGGGGUUACUCAAGAAGCAUAAAUUCAUUCCAGCUGCC
rnacentral:lncRNA from 1 species